GAUGAACGCUGGCGGCGUGCCUAAUACAUGCAAGUCGAGCGAACGGACGAGAAGCUUGCUUCUCUGAUGUUAGCGGCGGACGGGUGAGUAACACGUGGAUAACCUACCUAUAAGACUGGGAUAACUUCGGGAAACCGGAGCUAAUACCGGAUAAUAUUUUGAACCGCAUGGUUCAAAAGUGAAAGACGGUCUUGCUGUCACUUAUAGAUGGAUCCGCGCUGCAUUAGCUAGUUGGUAAGGUAACGGCUUACCAAGGCAAUGAUGCAUAGCCGACCUGAGAGGGUGAUCGGCCACACUAGAACUGAGACACGGUCCAGACUCCUACGGGAGGCAGCAGUAGGGAAUCUUCCGCAAUGGGCGAAAGCCUGACGGAGCAACGCCGCGUGAGUGAUGAAGGUCUUCGGAUCGUAAAACUCUGUUAUUAGGGAAGAACAUAUGUGUAAGUAACUGUGCACAUCUUGACGGUACCUAAUCAGAAAGCCACGGCUAACUACGUG
rnacentral:rRNA from 1 species